UGGGUGGGUAAGAGUGAAGUGAUUUGGUAGAUUUCCAAAUCCCUGAAGCUUCGGGGAUUCUGGUUUUGCUUCACCUGUUGCAAACCGAUACUCUGGAUUCUAUGGAAAGCACAUUUUUAUGCUUGAGUUAUUCCUAGUGGCGGGGGCUGGAGACCAUAUUAGCUCUGGGGGAGCUUCAGUAGAGGCUGCUGUGGCACUUGGAGGGAACAGUCAUUCAAGUUUCUGAUAACUGGAGUAGGAGAAAUUCAUAGAAAUAAAAUUAAAUGUUCUGUUUAUAUAAAAAGUAAUUUUAAAGACACAUAGCUUCGAAAAGCUUCUACUUUCAGCAGGUUGGUAUUCUGAGCCACUACGGAGACAGAGCAAACACUCUGUCAGAAUUUAAUCAUAAAUUGAUAGCUGGAGCUUGGAAACGGGGGAAAGGUCUGACUUAAUAAGACAAUGGAUAAGCCAAACACCCACCAAUGGUGAUUUACAACUGCAAAGGGCAGAGUUUUAAACUCACCCUACACGAACAGUAACUUUUCAAAAGAAGACAUACAUGCAGCCAACAAUCAUAUGAAAAAAAAUUCAACAUCACUGAUCAUUAGAGAAAUGCAAAUCAAAACCACAAUGAGAUACCAUCUCACACCAGUCAGAAUGGCUAUUAUUAAAAAGUAAAAAAAUAACAGAUGCUGGAGAGGUUGUGGAGAAAAAGGAAUGCUUAUACACUGUUGGUGGGAGGGUAAAUUAGUUCAGCCAUUGUGGAAGACAGCGCAGAUUCCUCAAAGACCUAAAGACAGAAAUACCAUUCGACCCAGCAGUCCCAUUACUAGGUAUAUGCCCAAAGGAAUAUAAAUCAUUCCGUUAUAAAGACACAUGCACACACAUUCACUGCAGCACUAUGCAAAAUAGCACAAAGACUUGGAAUCAAUCUAAAUGCCCAUCAGUGAUAGACUGGAUAAAGAAAAUGUGGUACAUAUACAUUAGAAUACUAUGCAGCCAUGAAAAAGAACAAGAUUAUGUCCUUUGCAGGAACGUGGAUGAAGCUGGAGGCCAUUAUCCUUAGCAAAAUAAUACAGGAACAGAAAACCAAAUGCUGUAUGUUCUCACUUAUAAGUGGGAGCUGAAUGAUGAGAAAAAACAUGGGCAUAUAGAGGGGAACCAUGCUCACUGGGGCCUUUUGGAAGGUGGAGGGUGGAAGGAGGGAGAGGAUCGGGAAAAAUAACCAAUGGGUACUAGUCUUAAUACCUGGGUGAUGAAAUAAUCUGUACAACAAACUCCCAUGACACAAGUUUACCUAUGUAACAAGCCUGCACUCAUACACUUGAACUGAAAAUAAAAAUUAAAAAAAAAAA
rnacentral:lncRNA from 1 species